UCAGGAUAAGUAUUCAAUUCAGGAACAGAGAAGAAAUAGAAAUAUUCCAGGACUAAGUGAAGAAAAUGCAAAUUAAUAUGACCAGCAAAGGUAAGGAGUAAAGUGAAAAUUAUAUAAAACCUAGUCA
rnacentral:lncRNA from 1 species